rnacentral:lncRNA from 1 species
GGUUAGAAAAUUUUUCGUCGAUGCUUUCGUACAUGAUCACUGUUAUUAUCGCUUAUCGUUCACUUACGCGAUCACGACGAACAAUACGGGAUGUUAUAACGUGAUAUUAUGCUAAUCUCACCAUUAUUUGCGUACAAAAAUGUACAAAUAAUAUGAAUAAUGUGUUAUAAAAAUUCCGACGUGGUCCUCUCUCGGUGACACGAAAUUUUACUGAAUGUGCAGAAGACUACUGCGCAUCAGGUUGAAGUUGAACGCUCUGCGCAUGGGAACGCGCAGGAAAUUCGCGGGAUACGUCGUCGAGACGGGACAGCAUCAGUAUUGGUACGUAAUUUUUGAUCGAAAUAAUUCAAUUAAUUGAAGUAUGUGGACAUUUCGUGAUUUAUUUUGUGAUUCUUUUAGUGAUACGUGAUACAGAGACUCAGAAUCGUGAUAAAGUUUCGGAAUAUAACGUCGGAAAAGGACAAUACGUGUUCGUGAAUCAUCGUUCUCUGCGAAGAGCUCGAAUAGAAGAAUUGCGUCAUUCGCGUUCGAACGAAAAUAAAUAGAAGAAAGGUCAGGAGCAGCUUAAUUGUGGCGUAUAUUUUCAUUGCCUGGGGCUUCGAUUCUUCGUAAUACGAAUACAACGUACAGAUCCUCCUCUCACAAAAAUCGAACAAAGGAAAGAAGAAAAGAAAACCCUCGUAUCGUCAUACUUUGGCUGGCAACCCCUCGCGUUUCAACGCAUCGAGCGCACGCAGAAGAAAUCGUCCCUUCCUCUUCCGUCCCGCUUCGCCGUCGGUUGGCAAUCGCUCAUUCGGGAUCACGAUCAAAUUGAAUCGACUGUGAACUCCACAAAAACUUUGUCCCUUAUCCCAACCAACUCGGACGUUUCCGGCGAGCUCUCUUGUUAAUCCUAACAAAUCGAAUUCAACCGUCUCGAAGGCACGAGCACCGUGGAAAAAGAAGCGGGAAACACGAUGAUAGCGAAACGAUGCAGGGAGGAAGGGAA